GAUGAACGCUGGCGGCGUGCCUAAUACAUGCAAGUCGAGCGAACAGAUGAGUAGCUUGCUCCUCUGACGUUAGCGGCGGACGGGUGAGUAACACGUGGAUAACCUACCUAUAAGACUGGGAUAACUUCGGGAAACCGGAGCUAAUACCGGAUAAUAUAUUGAACCGCAUGGUUCAAUAGUUAAAUACGGUUUUGCUGUCACUUAUAGAUGGAUCCGCGCCGCAUUAGCUAGUUGGUAAGGUAACGGCUUACCAAGGCAACGAUGCGUAGCCGACCUGAGAGGGUGAGAGGCCACACUGGAACUGAGAGACGGUCCAGACUCCUACGGGAGGCAGAAGUAGGGAAUCUUCCGCAAUGGGCGAAAGCCUGACGGAGCAAAGCAGCGUGAGUGAUGAAGGUCUUCGGAUCGUAAAACUCUGUUAUUAGGGAAGAAGAAAUGUGUAAGUAACUAUGCACGUCUUGACGGUACCUAAUCAGAAAGCCACGGCUAACUACGUG
rnacentral:rRNA from 1 species